rnacentral:misc_RNA from 1 species
CACAUCGUUACUCGAACAAAGGCCGUAAUAAUCCUUGAUCACAAGUGAAAUCUCAUUACUGAACCAAAAGUGGCAAUAGUCUUUGACCACAAGUGAAAUCGUAAACUGCUUACCGCAAUUACUGCGAUGGGUAAUGUAAUGUUGACAAAAACUUGGGAGUUUUCAGUGGCUAUAAAUCCCCUUCUUAAUAGAUGUAAUCUUGGGGACGUCUUAGUUGCGACAUAACUAUACAACUCAAGUAAACUCAAAGCACCAACUGUUAGCCAAUUGAUGCCACAUUUAGAGUAAACCUAAUAAAUUACAAGAUAUCCUCCUCAGAGCUACUGGUAUGGGUGUAGAUGGGAAAUUUCCUGCAUCAAUUUAAAAAGUUCGGCGAGGAAAUCACAGGAAUCAAACUAGAAGGCGUGAUCAGUGAUUUAACAAAAAGCCCAGAUUAUAAAGUCAUGAAGUUCCCCAUGCAGCGCCAAUAGGCAAGAGUCCAACUACAUUCCCCUUUUUUAACAUCUCCAAUGAAUGCUGCCGCUGUGCAGGAGAGGAGAGAACUUAAAAACAGCAAAAUAAGCUGUUUGGCAUGUUUGGAAGAUUUUUAUGCAGAGGCUACAUCCCCGCCUCUAUCAUCGCCACUAUGAAUUAUGUGAAACAAAAAAUUGGAAAUCAGGAAGAUUAACCUCCAAACUUCGAAGCCAAUUAUCAGCAGCCUGUAAUAGAGAGUUUGCUUGCUGCCAUUCAUGGGCUCCAAUUGGAGUUAAAAUUGAACCUCUAAACUUGUAGGAAGCAAGGCCAAAAACAGGUAAAGCAAUCUUGGAAGAAGCAAUUGUGCUAUUGGCCUUCCUGCCAUCGAGUUCCUCAAACUGUACCUGAUUUUUGCUUCCAGCUUUUGUGGAUAAGGAAUGGAAGGUCAAAAAAGAUGCAUCCAGAUUUUGUAGUGUUGGACCCGUCGGUAUUCUAUAUAUUGGGUACCAAGCCACAGAUACCCAACUCCCAGGCAAUAAAUCACAGCUUCUGUAGAUUUUGAUAUCAGGAAAUUGAGAUGCAAGAGAUGAAACCUUAUCAUAUAAAGGCUUUCGAUAAUGUGGUUGCUCCUGUUCCAAAUACUCAUAAACAAGCAGCCCAUGUGAGCUGGAAAUCUCAGUUUCAUCACUGGAUGAACAAUGAAGAGGUUUAUCUCUCAAGGUAAUCCUCCGCACUCCCCGGAAGUUUAGGUUCAUGAGAUUAUGCCGACCCCACACUCCAUCAACAAAACCUUUACCUCGCAUUUCUGCUUCACAGUCACUACUACCAGCACUGUUCGUCUCCCUGGAAGACUCAGCAUCACUAUCCUCACCAUGCCUCCUAAUUGAAUAUAAAAGGCAGAUAUCUAUAAAGAAUGAGCAAGCAUCUCACAAAGUUGUACAUAAACACAAAACAUUUCUAAAGAAAGUAUAUGAUAAUUGAACUCAUGAAAUCUAUCUGUAGUAUUGAACCUAAAACACUACCCUUAACACAGUUUAGAGCAUAUCCUUGUUUCAACAGAUUAAUUUGUCUGAUGAAAGACAGAUAGCAGGGGCCUUCUUCCAACAAGUUGCAGCUUUGUACAGAAAAGAAUUGAAAAGGACAGGCAAGAACAAUGCUGCUCAAGGUACAAGUCAUUGAGAAAAGGGUUUUAAUGAGACCCUCAUUUGUCAUAUAACUUCUCUAUAUAAAAAACUAGAGAAGAUGGAUGGAAUUUUUACUUUUCUAACAUUUUGAAUGCUCAUUUGAGCUGCUCUAGAAAUCAAAUUGUGAAAUCUAGUGGCUGGAACUACAGCAUUUUACACGUCCAUGAGCCCAUUUUGAGAGACAUGGCAAACCCAGAUGAAUGAACAUGCCCACAAUAACCAUGUGUCAGGUUUGUCCGCACUUGAAGCCAAACAACUCAUGAUUCUUGAGCCACAAUAACACUUGCAACAUGGUGACUGGUUGCUGUUUUGUUUCUAUGCCAGCAGUUGAACAGGCACUUAAAUUUCUUAAAACAAGACUAGUUUGCAUCUACUUUCUUAGUGAUGUGAGUGAAAACAGACGGAAGUAAACUCAAUUUGGAGGAAAACCAACAAUAAGUGUCAGUUAACUAUUGUGUUACACUGCUCACUUUUUUUGGCAUGACAAACAAGGUUUCUCUUAACUAACAGUUCAGUAAAUCAGACAUGCUUAUCAUUUGCUGCAUGCACAAAUUGUUUAGUUACUGGGAUUCCCAGAAAUAUAGUUGAAAGACAUUCCAACCCAGUUUUCACCACUCACUUGAUUAAUGGCUACCACCUGUGCAAAUCAAUUACAACUCUGAUAAUUGUUGAAAAUGCUCGGAUGGAACCAAUUUUGAUAUUUGACAAUGUCUAUAUCUAUAUCUAUAGUCAAUAAAUCCUGAAGAAAUGUGGCACCAAGUGCUAAAUGAUGGAUUUGAAACUAGAAAAGAUGUGGAAUAGCCAGACACGGUGUUCUACUAAAAUUAUGAAUAACUAGGAUAAAGCUCAUAUAUGCCUAAAGUAAGCAGCCUCACCCGUCACCUGUCCAAGAUGUCUAAUGACAAUGGAUUGGUUUAGAAUUCCAAACUUGCAAGUAGUUCACUCUAGCAAGUCAAAGUGAUUUCAUUCGACUGAUACAAAAACCGAAAAACAAAAAUGUUUGAAGAUUUUAUAACAAUUCAAUAAUUAAACUAAAAACAAUAGACCAAGGAAAUUAUUUCAAACAGAAUUCAGCAGGGGCACAAAUGGCUCUUGGAAUAUUUCCAGACCUGUUUAUAGCCACUUAAAUGUAAAGAUCCAUAAGAAAUCCAAUAUAGAUGAAAAAUCUCUGUUAAUGGCAUCAUGAUCAUGUCUAAAUAGCAGAUAAUACAAAUUAAAAGACACAGCAUAAACCCAAAGCAUCAAGGCAACCAAAUGGUACAUCAAGGCUGCUGAUGAAGAAGCUAUACAAUUUAAUAUAAGAAGGGCACAUGACAAUGACACAAAACAUAAGCUUCAUAUACAAACAAAUGCAGCAGCAGUGCACCAUCAUGAGAAGCUACCCAAGAAUGAGUUUAUUUAAAAAGUACAUUAUCAAAAAAUGAGAACCAUGUGACCUUAAAAUAAGGAGACAUGCAAAAAUUUCUUCAAAAAUUACUUUCUUUCACUAUUUCAGUUCUAGACCUAGUUCUAU